rnacentral:rRNA from 1 species
AACCAACGCUGGCGGCGUGCCUCAGACAUGCAAGUCGAACGAUUAAAGCUCUCUUCGGAGAGUGCAUAGAGUGGCGCACGGGUGAGUAACACGUAAGUAAUCUACCUUCGAGUGGGGAAUAACGUCCGGAAACGGACGCUAAUACCGCAUAAUGCAGCGGCAUCGCAAGAUGACAGUUGUUAAAGGAGCAAUUCGCUUGAAGAGGAGCUUGCGGCAGAUUAGCUAGUUGGUAAGGUAAUGGCUUACCAAGGCUACGAUCUGUAACCGGUCUAAGAGGACGGUCGGUCACACUGACACUGAAUAACGGGUCAGACUCCUACGGGAGGCAGCAGUCGGGAAUUUUGGGCAAUGGGCGAAAGCUUGACCCAGCAACGCCGCGUGAAGGAUGAAGUAUUUCGGUAUGUAAACUUCGAAAGAAUGGGAAGAAUCAAUGACGGUACCAUUUAUAAGGUCCGGCUAACUACGUGCCAGCAGCCGCAGUAA